GUUCAAAAAAACUACGAGUAAAAGACUAUGUUUGUUCAGCUUGUUAUGCCCAUGUCUUCAUUUUUAUUGAUGCUCCACUUAUUCACUCAUGCUGUCAUGCACGAAGUCGGGUUCAGAAUAUCAAAAAUAGUCUAAUCCCGUGUCGUCUUUCAUCGAAAAAGAAAAGAGCAAACGUGAAGCACUUGUUUUGACUUUCCCUGUUGAGAAAUUAUAUACUGCUUCAACAACAUAAUUCGCAAAACUAGACUACACAAAUACUGUGAUUUACCCAACAGUUGCGAAUUUGUUCACACGUUAAUUAUAUAACCACAAAAUUCAUCAAACUAAACAAAACAAGAAUCCAAAAGGGAAUAAACAUAGCAGUAGCAACACAUUGUCAACAUAAACAAGCUAUUAUUUUAGGCAUAGACUUCCACACACAAUCAUUUUUUUCGGAGUUAAAAGAAGAUCCUAGAUGCAUGACCCGAUUACAGGAAAUCAACACAUGCAAUUGAAAAAAUCCCAAAAGGUAUUAGACUAUAGUAAACGCAUUAAAAAAAAGAAAGAAAGAAAGAUGUUGAAGAGUGCAACUUUCAGGUUUCAAUCUAUCAGGGUCUAUCUAGUUAGAUUCUGACCUCACAUAAAUCUACAUGGUUGUAUGCUGAGGGGGUUGGGAUUUUAAGCGCCGGUCACUAUAAUUUACGUGGGACCCACUCUAAUCAUAGUUGGAAAUGACAUGGACAUACGAAACAAACAAAUCCACGGCCUCAACAUAGCACGAUGCAGUUUAAUUUUGUAGAAACAAACGAUCAUAUGAAGCAUAUGUAAAAUUACGAAACAUAUGUGUGUAUAUAUAUAUAAUAGAAGCUUUACGAAAAGAGAACAAAAAGGAUGCAAAACUUACUAGCAAAAAUAAAGAAAGGAGUAAUCGACAUAGGUUACUUCAGUAAGUUGGGUUCCACCGUGAAUAUCUGCUCUGAAAAAAUCGACACUGUUAAAUUGAUGGACAGCAUCCGCCAUGGCGGUA
rnacentral:lncRNA from 1 species